rnacentral:rRNA from 1 species
CAGUCGCCGCGGGAAUACGUAGGUCCCGAGCGUUGUCCGGAUUUAUUGGGCGUAAAGCGAGCGCAGGCGGUUAGAUAAGUCUGAAGUUAAAGGCUGUGGCUUAACCAUAGUACGCUUUGGAAACUGUUUAACUUGAGUGCAAGAGGGGAGAGUGAAAUUCCAUGUGUAGCGGUGAAAUGCGUAGAUAUAUGGAGGAACACCGGUGGCGAAAGCGGCUCUCUGGCUUGUAACUGACGCUGAGGCUCGAAAGCGUGGGGAGCAAACAGGAUUAGAUACCCCAGUAGUCCCUGUCUCUUAUACA